rnacentral:rRNA from 1 species
UACGUAGGUGACAAGCGUUGUCCGGAUUUACUGGGCGUAAAGAGCGCGCAGGCGGUCGGUCAAGUCGAGUGUGAAAGCCCCCGGCUCACUGGGGAGGGUCAUUCGAUACUGAUCGACUCGAAGGCAGGAGAGGGUAGUGGAAUUCCCGGUGUAGUGGUGAAAUGCGUAGAUAUCGGGAGGAACACCAGUGGCGAAGGCGACUACCUGGCCUGUUCUUGACGCUGAGGCGCGAAAGCUAGGGGAGCAAACGGG